CGGAGUUGACACUGCCAGGAAGCUGCAGAAGCCAAGGAGAGAGGCAGGGUUCCCUGGACUCACGACUCGAGACGCUUCUACUGUCUGCAAUGCCGCACAGCAUUCUGAAAACUACCAGCUCUAAAGCUCGCUCCAUAAACCUCAAGUUCCAGAAUCUAGAUCGAAUCCUCUGGCAACAGUUCAAGCAGAAAGCCAAACCACCUCUGACUCUGCCUCCAAUCCCGCAAGCCAGCAGCCCCCGGAGGACCAGCAGG